AUAUUUACGUACCAGAAGAAAAUACGGUCAUGAAGUUGGUGUUUUUCGGGGAGAUUUCUCUAUUGUACUCCGUGUGUGCUGACUCUUGUGACUUCCCCACAUGUGGGAAAACUGGACUGUAAUUUGUGAUGGUGGGGAAUUGCGUUUGCGCUUUUUUCUG
ensembl:snRNA U1 U1 spliceosomal RNA